UGUGUAAAAUAAAUUGAAAGCACUUUUUUAAGGUUUUAAAUCUGCUCAGAUUGAACGCUGGCGGCAGGCCUAACACAUGCAAGUCGAACGGUAACAGGAAGCAGCUUGCUGCUUCGCUGACGAGUGGCGGACGGGUGAGUAAUGUCUGGGAAACUGCCUGAUGGAGGGGGAUAACUACUGGAAACGGUAGCUAAUACCGCAUAACGUCGCAAGACCAAAGAGGGGGACCUUCGGGCCUCUUGCCAUCAGAUGUGCCCAGAUGGGAUUAGCUAGUAGGUGGGGUAACGGCUCACCUAGGCGACGAUCCCUAGCUGGUCUGAGAGGAUGACCAGCCACACUGGAACUGAGACACGGUCCAGACUCCUACGGGAGGCAGCAGUGGGGAAUAUUGCACAAUGGGCGCAAGCCUGAUGCAGCCAUGCCGCGUGUAUGAAGAAGGCCUUCGGGUUGUAAAGUACUUUCAGCGGGGAGGAAGGCGAUGCGGUUAAUAACCGCGUCGAUUGACGUUACCCGCAGAAGAAGCACCGGCUAACUCCGUGCCAGCAGCCGCGGUAAUACGGAGGGUGCAAGCGUUAAUCGGAAUUACUGGGCGUAAAGCGCACGCAGGCGGUCUGUCAAGUCGGAUGUGAAAUCCCCGGGCUCAACCUGGGAACUGCAUCCGAAACUGGCAGGCUUGAGUCUCGUAGAGGGGGGUAGAAUUCCAGGUGUAGCGGUGAAAUGCGUAGAGAUCUGGAGGAAUACCGGUGGCGAAGGCGGCCCCCUGGACGAAGACUGACGCUCAGGUGCGAAAGCGUGGGGAGCAAACAGGAUUAGAUACCCUGGUAGUCCACGCCGUAAACGAUGUCGACUUGGAGGUUGUGCCCUUGAGGCGUGGCUUCCGGAGCUAACGCGUUAAGUCGACCGCCUGGGGAGUACGGCCGCAAGGUUAAAACUCAAAUGAAUUGACGGGGGCCCGCACAAGCGGUGGAGCAUGUGGUUUAAUUCGAUGCAACGCGAAGAACCUUACCUGGUCUUGACAUCCACAGAACUUUCCAGAGAUGGAUUGGUGCCUUCGGGAACUGUGAGACAGGUGCUGCAUGGCUGUCGUCAGCUCGUGUUGUGAAAUGUUGGGUUAAGUCCCGCAACGAGCGCAACCCUUAUCCUUUGUUGCCAGCGGUUAGGCCGGGAACUCAAAGGAGACUGCCAGUGAUAAACUGGAGGAAGGUGGGGAUGACGUCAAGUCAUCAUGGCCCUUACGACCAGGGCUACACACGUGCUACAAUGGCGCAUACAAAGAGAAGCAAUCUCGCGAGAGCUAGCGGACCUCAUAAAGUGCGUCGUAGUCCGGAUUGGAGUCUGCAACUCGACUCCAUGAAGUCGGAAUCGCUAGUAAUCGUGAAUCAGAAUGUCACGGUGAAUACGUUCCCGGGCCUUGUACACACCGCCCGUCACACCAUGGGAGUGGGUUGCAAAAGAAGUAGGUAGCUUAACCUUCGGGAGGGCGCUUACCACUUUGUGAUUCAUGACUGGGGUGAAGUCGUACAGGGGUUAACCGUAAAAAAGGUAAGAGAAUAGAA
rnacentral:rRNA from 2 species